rnacentral:misc_RNA from 1 species
AUUACCCUUCCUACCUAGCUCAACAUAUCCAAUCGUCUCGCCCAACCUAUGACCCAGACACUAUUCCUAUCCCGCUGGUUCCAUUGCAUAUUUUACCCAGCAAGUAUGAGCGGCCCAUAAGUGUUAUUGGGUUCCUUGAUACUGGAGCCCAUAAAAGCAUGAUGAAUCCCACCAUCUUACCUCUAGAAUACUGGGUCCCACAUACAGAAUAUUUCAAAGCAGCGGAUGGAAAUAUCUUCAAAACCAGCCUGAUCACCAAAUAACCCAUUGGAAUUCAAUUUUUUCUCACCUGAAUCCUCUGGACAAAGGUCACUAGCUCAGACCUCCCUGAUAAAAACCUGGUGAUUGGAUUCGACCUAUAUCAGCAAGCAAGACACCUGAAGAUCCUCUCAACUGGAUUAAAAUACAAAAGGAAUUUUCAGCCCUUCAUCUUUGUUCCUAGGCUGUAUUCCUUAGCUGAUGCCUCAGUUGAAUUCCACGACCACAAAGAACUCCUCUUAAAGUCCUGUGCAGAUUCUCACUCACAAUUCCACCAUCACCAUCACCAUUCCCUGUGGAAGAACCCAGAGUUUUUUGUCCGUCUCCCAUUCAAGCUUAAUGAAGACAUAAACCCAACCAAAGCAUCACAUUCGGGGAUGAACCCCGCAGACUUAGA